AGCAGCCGCGGUAAUUCCAGCUCCAAUAGCGUAUAUUAAAGUUGUUGCAGUUAAAAAGCUCGUAGUUGAAUUUCGGGGUUAGUAGGUCGGUCGUGCCACUGGUAUGUACUGGUCUCACUGAUUCCUCCUUCCUGAUGAACCGUAAUGCCAUUAAUUUGGUGUUGCGGGGAGACUGGACUGUUACUUUGAAAAAAUUAGAGUGUUUAAAGCAGGCAAGCGCUUGAAUACAUUAGCAUGGAAUAAUGAAAUAGGACGUUCGAUCCUAUUUUGUUGGUUUCUAGGAUUGACGUAAUGAUUAAUAGGGAUAGUUGGGGGCAUUAGUAUUCAAUUGUCAGAGGUGAAAUUCUUGGAUUUAUUGAAGACUAACUACUGCGAAAGCAUUUGCCAAGGAUGUUUUCGCUAAUCAAGAACGAAAGUUAGGGGAUCGAAGACGAUCAGAUACCGUCGUAGUCUUAACCAUAAACUAUGCCGACUAGGGAUCGGAUGAUGUUAAUUUUUUAAUGACUCAUUCGGCGCCUUA
rnacentral:sRNA from 1 species